AAUUAAAAAAUCGAGCUUUUAAGACUCGUUUUUGUUGUUUUUCAGUUGCUGACAUGGCGAAAGUUUCCACUUGGAUAGCGAGUUUAUAAAACUCGAUUUCCAAAAUCGAGUUUUAUAAACUCGCUUUCGCUUUAACACUUUUUACCCUUCCCACUUAAAACAAUCUACAGAGACCCGUUCAAAAUCUCUCAAUCUUAGACACUGCUCUCUCAAACUCUCUCAAACUCUUCCCCUCACUGUGAAAAUUUCAAAAUCAACUCACUCUCAGACACUCCGCUCUCUCAAACUCGCCGUGCCGAAGGUGCUGCUCCCAUUGACACUCAGCCACCGAAACUCAGUUCUGCUUCCAUUGACAGUCAGGCACUCAAAGUCAGUACUGCUCCCAUUGAACCACCGUGCGCCUAAGUAUGGAGCCUCGGAUUGAUGAGGAGUUAGAGGUCUUGGACCCCGGUCUGCGUCAGAGGUCAUUGUUGACAUGACAGCCAUAUCAUCGAUCAGAGGCCAUUUGGAAUGGCAAGGCAACCACUUUGGCCCUAUGGGAUCCCUCCACAAUGACUGCGACUUAGGAACCACAAAUGCAUGCUCAUAAGUGUUAAUGGCAUUGUUCAAACCAUAACACGGGUGAAUAUAUGUGGUCGAAUCAUUAUUUAAAUAGUCACAUACUCUAAUUGCAUGUGAACACGGGAUCCCUAUGUUUUUCCAUUUACCACAACUGCAUGUUCUUUCCUGUAACCGAACUUCAUAAUUGUGGUUACCCCCUCCUGCACUACACGUGUUGAGUUGGGUAACUAUUUGAAAUAUCAGCUCUUCAUUGCUAAAUGGCUUGAGAUAAUGUUUCUCAGAUUUACUCUUAUUCUCAUCCCACUUGGAGAAGGCAUAUUUACUCCAUUUCUUACCCUCUGAGAACUCAAAAAGGUAUUCUUUGCGACGGUCGUGGA